GGUCGAGUGGCCGAGUGGUUAGGGCGCCGGGCUUGAAAUCCGGAGGUCGCGGGUUCAAGUCCCGCUCUGACGA
rnacentral:tRNA from 1 species